rnacentral:lncRNA from 12 species
CUUGCGAGAAGUUAUACAGAGACCACAUGGUCAUGUGAAAGUUGUCCAAUAAAUGCCAAAUGUGAAUGGACACACUACAGGUUGGCAAAGAAGCAACGAUGGAACUCAGAUACUGUGGGGAUGAAAGCCCUUCACCAAUCAGAAGUUCUGGAAACUCUCGUUUUGUGUCUGAUGGCUACAAUAACUAUGACGGCUUUUUUGCUACAUUCCAGGAAGUCUCAGGUACAAAAUCAGUUAAUAGUCAGCUAAUUUUAUUUGUUUGUUUGUUUAUUACAUGUUAUUUCUUUAUUUAUUCAUUUAUUUUUGAGUAUAUUAUGUUAGCAUUUCAUUCAUUUUUAAUAAUUUGGUUAUCAAAUCCUGAAGCAUACAGCUCCUUUCCUUUUAUGAACACAGGUAUAUGUUAUCUCUAA